rnacentral:lncRNA from 1 species
GGUGGUGGUGGUGAAGGAAUUUUAGAUGGAAAAUGAAGAAUUCUAAUUCUACUCCGCAAAAACAUGCUCUUUGGAUCACAAGAUAUAUGAAAAUUUCCCUCAAAUUUUGAAGCAAACCAAACAUGAGGUCUAACCUCAUGGAAAGUUUCCUAAAAAAAACUCAUGGAAAAUUGCGUAUUAAACUCUUCCAAUUAAUCCAUCUUCUAUCUCUUUUAUUCAUCUGAUUAAGCAUCACCUAAUUUCAAAAUGCUAUGUAUUUUGUUGCGUAGCAUCCAAACACAUCUUUCAAGUAAUUCGUGUGUUUUUAUCCCUAUAGCGUUCAACAUGCCCAGUAAACUCAUAAGAUCGACACGAAUUCAAUGAAGAGACAAACUACAUCCCAAAGAGAUGCAUGGCAUAUUGAUAUUGUUGGUUGGUUACUCAUGCAGAUAACUUGAGCUGAAGAAAUGAAGCACAGCAAAUUAAUGAUUAGGCCGGUGGUAUAAGAUCCCACCAAUUCUCCAUGGAGUCACACAUAGGUAGUUUUCUUUUAUGCAAACACACAGUGGCUUCCUUCCUACGCACAAGCAAAUUAGGAUAUUGGAAGAAAACAAGGAACCCUUAAUGCUAAUGCCGUGACCUCUGCCCCCGAGGAAAAACAAAAUGUCAUUUUUAAUGUAACAUCCCAUAUCUGUGUUUGAAACCUUUAAAGUAGGAAUACAGUACGGGUAUAGUUGGUCAAAAUAGUUAAUCAAAGCUUAUUCACCGGGUCAAAAGAUACAUCGCACAUGUAACCAUCAAUCACCAUGCUUGUUUAGAGUGAGUAGCAACUCUUUGGGCGUCAUCGUCGUCAACAUCUUGUUCUCCAGCUGCAGAGAUGCGCCAUCUCAUUGGAGUAGAAUCGAUGGAUUCGAUGUGCUUGUAGCCGCCACAGAAGGUCUCCCUGCCAUCUUCUUAAGUUUCAUCAAGUGUGGUAGCUCGUGGUACUUGUAUCCCAACUCUUUCAUGUACUGAACCAAUGAAACAAUUUAUAUUGAAACCAUCUUAAUUAUGCUAUCAUAUCAUAGUGCGCGCUUGUCCUUUUAUCAGAAUUUUUGUGUUGGGGCUCGAAAACACGGCAGGCAGGUGAGAUGUCUGCAUCUUGAAGUUGUGAUGUCGCGGUUGCCUUUUAGUUUCUAUCUAAUCAGUGACAAGCAUAGACAGCUUUGCAGCCAAGAAUUAAAGGGGCGUCCAGAUUAAUUCUGACUAUCCAUUUGUAAAUUUGGAUCCAUUAUAUAUCUAGUUUGGAUUUAUACGAACCAGAUGCACUCACCUUUUCUUCUUCUUCUUUGAGAGCAUCUCCAGUACUCCAAAUUAAAGCCUUUCGUCAUGGUCUC